AGAUUGAACGCUGGCGGCAUGCCUUACACAUGCAAGUCGAACGGCAGCGCGGGGCAACCUGGCGGCGAGUGGCGAACGGGUGAGUAAUAUAUCGGAACGUACCCUGGAGUGGGGGAUAACGUAGCGAAAGUUACGCUAAUACCGCAUACGAUCUAAGGAUGAAAGUGGGGGAUUCGCAAGAACCUCAUGCUCCUGGAGCGGCCGAUAUCUGAUUAGCUAGUUGGUAGGGUAAAAGCCUACCAAGGCAUCGAUCAGUAGCUGGUCUGAGAGGACGACCAGCCACACUGGAACUGAGACACGGUCCAGACUCCUACGGGAGGCAGCAGUGGGAAUUUCGUCAAUGGGGGCAACCCUGAACGAGCAACGCCGCGUGCAGGAAGAAGGUUUUCGGAUCGUAAACUGCUUUUCUCGGGGAAGAGAACGGACGGUACCCGAGGAAUCAGCCCCGGCUAACUACGUGCCAGCAGCCGC
rnacentral:rRNA from 1 species